AUUGAACGCUGGCGGCAUGCCUUACACAUGCAAGUCGAACGGUAACAGGUUAAGCUGACGAGUGGCGAACGGGUGAGUAAUAUAUCGGAACGUGCCCAGUCGUGGGGGAUAACGUAGCGAAAGCUACGCUAAUACCGCAUACGAUCUACGGAUGAAAGCGGGGAAUCGCAAGACCUCGCGCGAUUGGAGCGGCCGAUAUCAGAUUAGGUUGUUGGUGAGGUAAAAGCUCACCAAGCCUGCGAUCUGUAGCUGGUCUGAGAGGACGACCAGCCACACUGGAACUGAGACACGGCCCAGACUCCUACGGGAGGCAGCAGUGGGGAAUUUUGGACAAUGGGGGCAACCCUGAUCCAGCCAUGCCGCGUGAGUGAAGAAGGCCUUCGGGUUGUAAAGCUCUUUCGGCCGGGAAGAAAUCGCACAGGCUAAUACCCUGUGUGGAUGACGGUACCGGCAUAAGAAGCACCGGCUAACUACGUGCCAGCCGCCGCAGUAA
rnacentral:rRNA from 1 species